GUCCACGCCGUAAACGAUGCAUACUAGGUUCGGGUGUCUCUGACGGCUUCCGAGCCGAAACAAAGCGAUAAGUAUGCCGCCUGGGGAGUACGGCCGCAAAGGCUAAAAACUCAAAGGAAUUGACGGGGGCUCACACAAGCGGUGGAGCAUGUGGCUUAAUUCGAAGCAACGCGAAGAACCUUACCCAGGUUUGACAUGCAUGGAUGUCUUGGCGGGAUAACCGUCAAGAUUACCCGCAAGGGUGAAACAUGCACAGGUGUUGCAUGGCUGUCGU
rnacentral:rRNA from 1 species